GCCCGAGUUUCUGCGGUUCACACGGUUGCCAGACGUGCCAAUCACUCCCUCGCGACUCUCCUAAAGAAGGUGUCGCAAGUUCGAAUCUUGCCGGGGGCA
rnacentral:tRNA from 1 species